rnacentral:lncRNA from 1 species
GAGCUUCGACCGGACGAAGCCAGCCGCACGCCAGACCGGCCGACCUCCGCCUGCCCGCUCGUCGCCGCCGUCGCCGUCGCCAUUGCCCCGCGUCGCUCGCACGCCACUCCGCCGGUCAGCUCGCCUACCCGUCGCCCUCUCUCCUCCAUCUCCGCUGCAGCUCGGCGCACCAGCAGAUCUGAAGACAUCAGAGCUGCCCACGGUCCAGCCAGACCGCCGUCGCGCGCGCCUCGCGCGUCGUCCGCCUCUCGCGCGCCUCCCGCGCGUCAUCGCCGUCCUGGCCAUCGUUCCAGCCUUCCUCUCGCCCAGCUCGUCGUUCCGAGCUGCUGUUCAGCUCACGCAGGAGCUGCCGGAGCUCCCUCCGGCCACCGUGAGGCCUCGCUUGGCCGCCGCCUCGUCCAUCCGAGCCACCGGCAGUCCUCCUACGCCGUUCCUCCGCCCGAUCCACCGCCGUGCAGCCCUCCAUCGGCCUCAACCAGCAGUUGCAGAAAAUGGGUAUGGCAGCGGGUGUUUGGCUCGUUUUGGCCGCCUUCCCGAGCCCGGAUGCUCGGCCCGCUUUGAGGAAAGUUGUUCUCCUCGGCGUCCCCGUCGUUUUGGUCCGCUCGGCUCGCUAAUCCGGUGAGUUUAACUCACUAAAUCUCGCUUAGAGGGUUAAUUAUGCUUUAGGUGUGCUUAGCUUAAGUUGAUUAAGCUUAGGUGGUUAAUUUAGUUGAUUUAAUUAUGAUUUAGAUUAAGAUGUUUGUUUAAUCUAAAGUAUGUUUAAUUAAAUGUUAAAAGAAGUUAUUUAAAGUUAAGCCUUGAUGUGACACAAAAUGAUUUUUGUUUUGAAUUAUUAAAGUGUUUCGAAAUUCU